rnacentral:rRNA from 1 species
AUUGAACGCUGGCGGCAUGCCUUACACAUGCAAGUCGAACGGCAGCACGGGUGCUUGCACCUGGUGGCGAGUGGCGAACGGGUGAGUAAUACAUCGGAACAUGUCCUGUAGUGGGGGAUAGCCCGGCGAAAGCCGGAUUAAUACCGCAUACGAUCUACGGAUGAAAGCGGGGGACCGUCGGGCCUCGCGCUAUAGGGUUGGCCGAUGGCUGAUUAGCUAGUUGGUGGGGUAAAGGCCUACCAAGGCGACGAUCAGUAGCUGGUCUGAGAGGACGACCAGCCACACUGGGACUGAGACACGGCCCAGACUCCUACGGGAGGCAGCAGUGGGGAAUUUUGGACAAUGGGCGAAAGCCUGAUCCAGCAAUGCCGCGUGUGUGAAGAAGGCCUUCGGGUUGUAAAGCACUUUUGUCCGGAAAGAAAUCCUUGGCCCUAAUACGGUCGGGGGAUGACGGUACCGGAAGAAUAAGCACCGGCUAACUACGUG